UUCCGCGCCGCAAUGUUGCCAUGUCGUCAAAACUGUUUCACAAACUGAGUUUCAUGAAACUGAUUCCUGCUUCAUGAGCCCGUUCUGCCGCGCGCUAGGUUACUAGACCAGGGGAAUGUGGCGUGCGGGGCA